rnacentral:rRNA from 1 species
GGGUUAAGUCCCGCAACGAGCGCAACCCUUAUCUUAAUUGCCAGCAUUCAGUUGGGCACUUUAAAGAGACUGCCGGUGUUAACCGGAGGAAGUGGGAUGACGUCAAGUCCUCAUGGCCUUAUGCUUAGGGCUACACACGUGCUACAAUGGGUGGUACAAAGAGAAGCCAACUCGCGAGAGCGCGCCAAUCUCAAAAAGCCAUCCUCAGUUCGGAUUGGAGUCUGCAACUCGACUCCAUGAAGUUGGAAUCGCUAGUAAUCGCGGAUCAGCAUGCCGCGGUGAAUACGGUUCCCGGGCCUU